GCGCCGGUAUGCAAAUGGCUGAAGCAAGCGGUCUGUAAAACCGUGACCCAGGUGGUGAACAUUGUUGGCUCGAAUCCAACCCGGCGCAUCA
rnacentral:tRNA from 1 species